rnacentral:rRNA from 1 species
AUUGAACGCUGGCGGCAGGCCUAACACAUGCAAGUCGAGCGAGCGGCGGACGGGUGAGUAAUGUAUGGGGACUGCCCGAUAGAGGGGGAUAACUACUGGAAAAGGUGGCUAAUACCGCAUACUAUGCGAUAACCCUUGUGGGAUUAGCUAGUAGGUGGGGUAAAGGCACACCUAGGCGACGAUCUCUAGCUGGUCUGAGAGGUUGAUCAGCCACACGGAGACUGGGACAGCGCCCAGACUCCUACGGAGGCAGCAGUGGGGAAUAUUGGACAAUGGGCGAAAGCCUGAUGAAGCCAUGCCGCGUGUAUAAAGAAGGCCUUAGGGUCGUAAAGUACUUUCAGCGGGGAGGCGUUACCCGCAGAAGAAGCGCCGGCUAACUCCGUGCCAGCAGCCGCGGUAAUAC